rnacentral:tRNA from 1 species
GGUGGUGUGGUGUAAUGGUAGCACGUGACGUUGUGGUCUAAACACGAUAAUCCGUUUCAAUCUGGGUUCGAUUCCCAGCACCGCCA